UACGUAGGGUGCAAGCGUUAAUCGGAAUUACUGGGCGUAAAGCGUGCGCAGGCGGCUGGUCAAGUCCGAUGUGAAAUCUCCCGGCUUAACUGGGAAACUGCAUCGGAAACUGAUCGGCUUGAAGGUGGGAGAGGGUAGUGGAAUUCCCGGUGUAGUGGUGAAAUGCGUAGAUAUCUGGAGGAACACCGGUGGCGAAGGCGGCAUCCUGGACCGGCAUUGACGCUGAGGAGCGAAAGCCAGGGGAGCAAACGGG
rnacentral:rRNA from 1 species